GAUAAACGCUGGCGGCGUGCUUAACACAUGCAAGUCGAACGAAGUUUUUCUUUCGGGUGGCACUUAGUGGCGGACGGGUGAGUAACGCGUGGGUAACCUGCCCUGUACAGGGGGACAACAGCUGGAAACGGCUGCUAAUACCGCAUAAGCCCUUAGCACUGCAUGGGGCAUAGGGAAAAGGAGCAAUCCGGUACAGGAUGGACCCGCGUCUGAUUAGCCAGUUGGCAGGGUAACGGCCUACCAAAGCGACGAUCAGUAGCCGAUCUGAGAGGAUGUACGGCCACAUUGGGACUGAGACACGGCCCAGACUCCUACGGGAGGCAGCAGUGGGGAAUAUUGCACAAUGGAGGAAACUCUGAUGCAGCGACGCCGCGUGAGUGAAGAAGUAUUUCGGUAUGUAAAGCUCUAUCAGCAGGAAAGAAAAUGACGGUACCUGACUAAGAAGCACCGGCUAAAUACGUG
rnacentral:rRNA from 1 species